UGCCCCUUUUGUCUUAUAGUCUUUGAAUUAAGUGUUACUAAUAAACAAUUUUGAUCUGGGUUUUAUUGGAUGAUAUUAAUUUAUUAGGGAAUUGAAAUGUGUAAGAAACAAUUUGCUUGCUUGCAUUUUGGGUAUGUCAAAUUCUGAUUUUAUAUACUCCUUAAAGAGGGUUCAACGAUUAUAAUUUGAGUGUUCCAUUGUUUCUAGGUUUGUGUAGAGCUUCAAGCUCAGAUCUUUAGGGUUCUUCUAAGCUUGAUUAUUUCUGAUUUUAUUAUUUGGGGGAUUUUGUAGGAAACCCAGAUGUUCAAGAUUGAAUUAAAGAAGAUAUUCUUGAUUGAGUUGUCAAUGUUUGUGCCAAGGUUAAGGUUCUCUGGAGCAAAGGCCACAAACCACAACCUCCACUUCAUCCCCUCUUAAUUAAGGGCAGAAACCUCUACAGAUUGAACACAUUGAGGCGGGCCCACUCUUGUUACAUUUGUCAUGUCAAAGAUGAAAGAAAUAGCUAAGAGGGACGACACUCCUUUGAUGGCUGAUGGUAAACCUGUAGUUGUGAAUGAGCAACAGGUGGAGAAGUUUCUUUACACUACCUUGAAGUUGCUAAGAUACUCAAGAAUGACAGUUGUGGUACUUGUUAGCUUACCGCCACCACCUCCAUUACCCAUCUAUAUUUUAUAUGGAAUACUUGGAUCUUUUGGUGGAAAACAUUCUAAGGCUUUUAACUGUAAGAGGAUACAAGAAAGAUGUGGUCACGUUGUAUACAUAACUUCUUAGAACUCCAAUUUUUGCUAUGGGGAUAAACAUGGUGUACUUAAGGAUCAGAAAAUUUGAAACUACGUAUUUGUUCAUAUCUUCUGUUUUGACAA